UACGGAGGAUGCGAGCGUUAUCCGGAUUUAUUGGGUUUAAAGGGAGCGCAGGCUGCGAGGCAAGUCAGCGGUCAAAUGUCGGGGCUCAACCCCGGCCUGCCGUUGAAACUGUCUUGCUAGAGUUCGAGUGAGGUAUGCGGAAUGCGUUGUGUAGCGGUGAAAUGCAUAGAUAUGACGCAGAACUCCGAUUGCGAAGGCAGCAUACCAACUCGCGACUGACGCUGAGGCUCGAAAGCGUGGGUAUCGAACAGGAUGAGAUACCCCGGUAGGACUGACU
rnacentral:rRNA from 1 species